rnacentral:rRNA from 1 species
GAUGAACGCUCGCGGCAGGCCUAACACAUGCAAGUCGAGUGAGAGGUUACCUUCGGGUAACCAAAACCGGCGCACGGGUGCGUAACGCGUAUACAAUCUGCCUUUCACAUAGGGAUAGCCCGAAGAAAUUUGGAUUAAUACCUAAUGGUAUAUAAGAGCGGCAUCGUUUUUAUAUUAAAGCUACGGUGGUGAAAGAUGAGUAUGCGUUCUAUUAGCUAGUUGGAGAGGUAACGGCUCCCCAAGGCGACGAUAGAUAGGGGUUCUGAGAGGGAUGUCCCCCACACUGGUACUGAGAUACGGACCAGACUCCUACGGGAGGAAGCAGUGAGGAAGAUUGGACAAUGGUCGGAAGACUGAUCCAGCCAUGCCGCGUGCAGGAUGAAGGUCCUAUGGAUUGUAAACUGCUUUUGUAAGGGAAGAAUAAGGAGUACGUGUACUUUGAUGACGGUACCUGACGAAUAAGCAUCGGCUAACUCCGUG